AUUUUAGCCAUUUGUCUUUGUGCUGGUUCUUCCAGAGCGAGAGCGAGGGCGAGACGAAGACCUCUUCAGGUGGAGAUCAGUGAUAGAGCAUCUUCUUGUCAGGACGCUGCUGCUCUGAUGCUUUUACAGAGAAGCUCUUCAAUAAAGUGUAUUCCAGCAGAUGUGGAGAUGUUGCUCCAGUGAACACCAGCAGCACAGAUGAGCAGAAACCAUCCCAACACACUUCGAGGGAAAGCGGAUGUUCAGUCACUCAAGCUCCAGCUGGACACCAUAAAGACCUGACAUUUCCAGAAACGACCCGUGAUUCCCGGAGACCUUGAGCUGCUUUACUGCUGCAGUCAUUCCUCCAGCAGGACAGAUGACACUGACUACAGACAUGAUCACAGCUCUUGGCAAUAAACAGGACAAUCCAGGCGCCAAUGGUCAGUGACAGAUCUUCUGAUUCGCCAUUGGAGGACAUCAACUGCCCCACAAAGCCCCAUGCUCGCCUCUGUUAUUCUUCCUCUCAUUAUGCGCUCAUUCUGUUGGGCGAGGAGCAGGUGGCGGAGCGGCUGAGAGACGGUCCCACCGAGAGUUCCAGCGACUGAUGCUCACUGAACAGAUCCAGAUCCAUCACGACCCGAGAGCUCUAGAGCUCCAGCAGUCUGCUUUGAGUUCCUUCUAUAAAUGAUGCUAGAGGGAACAGAAUUUUAAUUUACAAAAACACAACCAUUUGGAUUUGUUUCAUUGUUUCAUUGGAAAUGUUCAUCUGUCAGUUCCAUUUUUUGGUAAAACUGUAUGUAUAUAAUAGACUUAAUAAAGAUUUGUUACUAGAUUUUUUGAAAAUAAACAUACUUGUAAGAGAUUAGAAUUUAGAGUUUAGAAUCAUUUAAGUGAGAUGAUCAUAUCUGGAGCCGUAUUUAAAUGUUUUAAAUUUUGAUUACUGUCUGGGAAGUGUUCAGCAAACAGCACGUGUGCAUUAUAGAGUUUCUAUGUGAUUGUGUCAUUCAGCAUCACUUGUUUUGUUCCUCCUCACGAGGAUGAAGCGUGUUGAGUUUUGUCUUUAUAAACUCACUGCAGUAAGUCGUUUCUGUCAGUGAAACUAAAUGUUGAUGAAGAGAUGAAAACUGACGAGUUUCUCUAUUUCACAUCACUGACUGAUU